CGGGAUUCUCCCGGUGAGUGGAAGGGCGCCGCGGCGGCGGCUGCAGCCAGAGAGCAGGUAAAGGCGGCCGCUGCGCGCCGACGACGCCGGCAGAGGGCUUGGGGUCCCGGACACCAUCCGUGGCCUGGAGGGAAGGCGGUUUGGGGUGGCGGCGGUCGCGGGGGUCUGGGGGUCGCCGCCACCCGGCUGAGGGCGCGGGGGACCCGGCCCCAAGCCCGUCCUCAGGCGUCCUCUCUGGCUCCGGGUCUCCGAGAUGUCUCCCCCCCCCGCGCCCGGGCAGCCUCUGACAGCAGCUGAGCGGCGGGCGGGAGCUCCUCCCGGCCCCCCUGGACCCUUGCAAGCGGCCACCCGCCACCAACUUUAUUUCCCGGCUCACGGAGGGGCGGAGGUCGAGUAGGCUGGCGGCGAUUUGCUGCUAGCUUGAUUGUAUUUAUUGUCCUGUGCGGUGGCACUGCCUCCACCCCGACCGGGCCCAGACUGGCAGGUCGGGGACGGGAGUUGACAGUUUCCGCGCCACCACCCUUCCAGUCGCUCCUUGAGCUCCUGUCCCGCGGUCCUCACCCAUCUGUCAUCUCCCCCGUGUGCCUUGGUCUGCUGCUUUUCUUAUGCCUGUGACACCCUUUGCCGGGGCGAGAGACUCUCCAGAGGAUCCUCUGAGACAUCUGCUGUCUGUCUCCGGCAUCAUUGGAGCCUUGGCUGAGAUGCCUCUUGGUCUCUGGCAGGAUUAAACUGUUCGGGAAAUAACCCAGGAAGACACCGGCACCACAGCGUGGAGGUCAACGAGUUGUUUAGUAGUGGCGGAGAUAAGGCCAGAGGCUUUAAGAACCGUCCCUCUAGCCUUAAUUCUUAUCGUGCGAAACGAAACAAAACAAAACAUUCCCUAGAUGCUCAACGGACCAUACACACCCAGUGACAGCACUUGGCAGUUGAUGAGGUGAAACUUUAUUCUAAGAAUAUUUGUUUCAUCUAGUUCAUGAGCUCAAAUUAUAAGGACUCUAAAUGUUACAGAAGUGUUGAGAGAUUGCUCGGUCAUGAGCACCGACAGUAACUCACUGGCACGUGAAUUUCUGACGGAUGUCAACCGGCUUUGCAAUGCAGUGGUCCAGAGGGUGGAGGCCAGGGAGGAAGAGGAAGAGGAGACACAUAUGGCAACCCUUGGACAUUACCUUGUCCACGGCCGAGGAUUUCUGUUACUCACCAAGCUAAAUUCUAUCAUCGAUCAGGCAUUGACGUGUAGAGAAGAACUCCUCACUCUACUCCUGUCACUCCUUCCACUGGUAUGGAAGAUACCUGUUCAAGAAGAGAAGGCAGCAGAUUUUAAUCUGCCGUUCUCAGCUGAUAUAAUCCUGGCCAAAGAAAAGAACUCAAGUUCACAAAGAUCUACUCAGGAAAAAUUAUAUUUAGAAGGAAGUGCCCCAUCCGGUCAGGUUUCUGCAAAAGUAAAUGUUUUUCGAAAAAGCAGACGACAGCGUAAAACCACCCACCGCUAUUCUGUAAGAGAUGCAAGAAAGACACAGCUCUCCACCUCAGACUCAGAAGCCAAUUCAGAUGACAAGAGCGUGGCAAUGAAUAAGCACAGAAGGCCCCGUCUGCUACAGCAUUUUGCAACACAGUCUCCUAAAGAAGACCACCUUACAGCUAAACUUGACCACUUAGCAACCAAAGAACGGACUCCUCCCGACACCAUGGCUUUGGAAAAUUCCAAGGAGAUCCUUCCAAGACAGGAGUCAGACACCGACAUUUUGAGUGAGCCAGCUGCCUUGUCGAUUCUCACUCACAUGAACAAUUCCCCAUUUGACUUAUGUCAUGUUUUGUUAUCUUUAUUAGAGAAAGUUUGUAAGUUUGACAUUACCUUGAAUCAUAAUUCUGCUCUAGCGGCCACUGUAGUGCCCACGCUGACUGAAUUCCUAGCGGGCUUUGGGGACUGCUGUAAUCUAAGGGACAAUUUGGAGAGUCAGAUGGUUUCUGCAGGCUGGACUGAGGAACCGGUGGCUUUGGUUCAACGGAUGCUUUUCCGAACAGUGUUGCAUCUUAUGUCAGUGGAUAUUAGUGCUGCAGAGGUGAUGCCAGAAAAUCUUAGAAAAAACUUAACCGAAUUGCUUAGAGCAGCUUUAAAAAUUAGAACUUGCCUAGAAAAGCAGCCUGACCCUUUUGCACCAAGACGAAAGAGAACACUACAGGAGGUUCGAGAAGGCUUUGUGUUUUCAAAGUACCGUCACAGGGCCCUCCUCUUACCUGAGCUUCUGGAAGGAGUUCUGCAGAUCCUGAUCUGUUGUCUUCAAAGCGCAGCUUCUAAUCCCUUCUUCUUCAGUCAAGCCAUGGAUUUGGUUCAAGAAUUCAUCCAGCACCAUGGAUUCAACUUAUUUGAAACCACAGUUCUUCAAAUGGAAUGGCUGGUUUUAAGAGAGGGAGCUCCUACGGAGGCCGCAGAGCGUUUGAAGGCCCUGAUAAGCAGCGUGAUGAAAAUAAUGAGCACUGUCAAGAAAGUGAAAUCGGACCAACUCCAUCACUCAAUGUGCACAAGAAAAAGGCACAGACGGUGCGAAUACUCGCACUUCAUGCACCACCACAGGGAUCUCUCAGGUCUCCUGGUCUCGGCUUUUAAAAACCAGGUUUCCAAAAACCCAUUUGAGGAGACCGCAGACGGAGACGUUUAUUAUCCCGAGCGGUGCUGUUGUAUCGCGGUGUGCGCCCACCAGUGCCUGCGCUUGCUGCAACAGGCUUCCCUGAGCAGCACCUGCGUCCAGGUUCUGUCUGGUGUGCACAACGUCGGAAUAUGCUGUUGCAUGGACCCCAAAUCCGUAAUCGUUCCUUUGCUCCAUGCGUUCAAAUCACCGGCGCUGAAAAAUUUCCAGCCGCACAUACUGAAUGUCCUUAACAAACUUAUUCUGGAUCAGUUAGGAGGAGCCGAGGUCCCACAGAAGAUGAAGAAAGCAGCUUGCAACAUUUGUACUGUUGACCCUGACCAGCUAGCCAAAUUAGAGGAAGCACUGCAGGGAAGCCCAUGGGAGGCUGAACCUUCCCCAAGCCCGUCCAGUCCCUCUCACAGAUCUCAAGGGAUCCUGCCCAGCAGUGGGUCCGAAGACCUGCUGUGGAGAUGGGGCGCCUUAGAGGCUUAUCAGAAUUUUGUUUUUGAAGAAGACAGGUUCCAUAGUGUGCAGAUUGCAAAUCACAUUUGCACUUUAAUCCAGAAGGGCAAUGUAAUUGUUCGGUGGAAGCUGUAUAAUUGCAUAUUUAAUCCCGUGCUCCAAAGAGGCGUCGAGUUAGCGCGUCACUGUCAACACCUUAGCAUUACUUCAGCUCAGGCCCACGUGUGCAGCCGUCAUAACCAGUGUUUGCCUCCGGAAGUGCUUCAGAUUUACUUAAAAACUCUGCCUGCUCUGCUUAAAUCAAGGGUAAUAAGAGAUUUGUUUUUAAGUCGUAAUGGAGUAAGUCAAAUAAUUGAAUUAAAUUACUUAGAUGAUGUUCGAAGUCAUUCCCUAAAAGCAUUUGAAACUCUGAUAAUCAGCCUAGGGGAACAACAAAAAGAUUCUUCAAUUCCAGGUAUUGAUGGGCUAGACGGCGAACAGAAGGAAUUGUCAUCUUUAAAUGCAGGUACUUCCUUUCGUAACCAGCAAGCUUAUUCAGAUUCUCCUCAGACUCUUAGCAAAUUUUAUGCCAGCCUCAAAGACGCUUAUCCAAGGAAACGGAAGUUUGUUAAUCAGGAUGUUCAUAUCAACAUGAUAAACCUGUUCCUCUGUGUGGCAUUCUUAUGUGUAAGUAAAGAAGCAGAAUCUGAUAGAGAGUCGGCCAAUGAUUCCGAAGAUACUUCGGGCUAUGACAGUACAGCAAGCGAGCCUUUCCAUCAUAUGCCGCCAUGUUUAUCUCCUGAGAGCCUUGUCUUGCCUUCUCCCAAACACAUGCACCAAGCGGCAGACAUUUGGUCCAUGUGUCGUUGGAUCUACAUGUUGAGUCCAGUUUUCCAGAAACAGUUUUAUAGGCUUGGUGGUUUCCAAGCGUGCCAUAAAUUAAUAUUUAUGAUCAUACAGAAACUGUUCAGAAGUCAUGAAGAAGAGCAAGGAAGAAAGGAAGGAGACCUAAAUGUACAUGAAAACCAAGAUUUAAAUAGAACUUCUCAAUCUGAGAUCACUGUGAAGGAAGAUCUAUCAUCUUUGACUAUGAAAAGAGACUCCAUGCCAUCAGGAAUGGGUAGUCCAAAACAGAGUGCUGACAGUUUAGGUAAAUUAGAGUCACAGCAUAUCUCUUCCAAAAAUACAGGCCAUGUUUCAGCUACUGAAGCUGCUCCUGAGGAAGCAAAGGUAUUUAUGAGUCAAGAAAGUGAGACCUCACUUCAGAGCAUACGACUUCUGGAAGCCCUUUUGGCCAUUUGUCUUCAUAGUAUCAGAGCUAGUCAGCAAAAGAUGGAAUCAGAGUUACCUAAUCAGAAUUUGUCUGUGGAAAACAUACUGUUUGAAAUGAGGGACCAUCUCUCCCAGUCAAAGGUGAUUGAAACAGAAUUAGCAAAGCCUUUAUUUGAUGCCCUGCUUCGAGUCGCACUGGGGAAUCACUCAGUAGAUUUUGACCACCAUGAUGCUAUGACUGAGAAGAGUCAUCAGUCUGAAGAAGGAUUGUCAUCCCAACCUGGUGAUUUUUCGGAAGAAGCUGAGGAUUCUCAGUGUUGUCUUAAACUUUUGGCUGAAGAAGAAGGUUAUGAAGCAGACAGUGAAAGCAACCCUGAGGACAGUGAAACCCGAGAUGAUGGUGUAGACGUAAAGCCUGAAGUAGAAGUUUUCAGCGCAUCAGGCAAUCCGAAGGACUUACUUGAAAACCUCACAGACGGGGAAAUAAUAUAUCCUGAGAUUUUCAUGCUGGAAUUAAAUUUGCUUUCUGCUGGUAAAGCCAAACUUGAUGUACUUGUCCAUGUAUUUGAGAGUUUUUUGAAAAUCAUCAGACAGAAAGAAAAGAAUAUAUUUCUCCUCAUGCAACAGGGAACUGUGAAAAAUCUUUUAGGAGGGUUCUUGAGUAUUUUAACACAGGCUGAUUCUGAUUUUCAAGCAUGCCAAAGAGUAUUGGUGGAUCUUUUGGUAUCUUUGAUGAGCUCCAGAACGUGUUCGGAAGAGCUAACCCUUCUUUUGAGAAUAUUUCUGGAGAAAUCUCCUUGUACAGAAGUUCUUCUUUUGGGUAUUCUGAAAAUUAUUGAAAGUGACAUUGCUAUGAGCCCUUCACAGUAUCUAACCUUCCCUUUACUGCAUACGCCAAAUUUAAGCAAUGGCGUUUCAUCACAAAGGAGUCCUGGGAUUCUAAACAGUAAGGCCCUGGGAUUAUUACGGAGGGCACAGAGUUCGCAGAGCAGGAAAGAGGCCGACAGUGAAAGUUUCCCCCAGCGGCUGCUCUCCUCCUGGCACGUAGCCCCAGUCCACUUGCCGUUGCUGGGGCAGAACUGCUGGCCACACCUGUCAGAAGGGUUCAGCGUCUCACUGUGGUUUAGUGUGGAGUGCAUCCACGAAGCGGAGAGUGCCAUGGAGAAAGGAAAGAAGAUAAAGAAAAGAAACAAAUCCUUACUGUUGCGGGACAGUAGUUUGGAUGGCGCAGAGAACAACAGACUGGAAGGUGCCGAGUACAUAAAUCCUGGUGAAAAGCUCAUAGAAGAAGGAUGUAUUCAUAUGAUUUCCUUGGGAUCCAAAGCUCUGAUGAUGCAAGUGUGGGCUGAUGCCCGCAACGGCACUUUUAUCUUCCGUAUGUGCAUGGAUUCAAACGAUGACAUGAAAGCUAUUUUACUGGCACAGGUUGAAUCACAGGAGAAUAUUUUCGUCCCCAGCAAAUGGCAACACUUGGUCCUCACCUACCUACAGCAGCCCCAAGGGAAGAAGAAUAACCAUGGGAAAAUCUCCAUAUGGAUCUCUGGGCAGAGGAAACCUGAUGUUACUUUGGACUUUAUGCUUCCGAGAAGAACAAGCUUGUCAUCUGAUAGCAAUAAAACAUUUUGCAUGAUUGGCCACUGUUCAUCAUCCCAAGAAGAGUUUUUGCAAUUGGCUGGAAAAUGGGACCUGGGAAAUUUACUCCUCUUCAACGGAGCUAAGAUUGAUUCACAAGAGGCCUUUUAUCUAUAUGCUUGUGGACCCAACCAUACAUCUAUAAUGCCAUGUAAAUAUGGCAAGCCUGCGAAUGACUUCUCCAAAUAUAUUAAUAAGGACAUUUUGCGAUGUGAAAAAAUCAGAGAACUUUUUAUGACCAAGAAGGAAGUGGACAUUGGUCUCUUAAUUGAAAGUCUUUCCGUUGUUUACACAACUAACUGUCCUGCUCAGUAUACCAUCUAUGAGCCAGUUAUUAGACUUAAAGGCCAGAUGAAAACCCAACUCUCUCAGAGGCCCUUCAGCUCAAAAGAAGUUCAGAGCAUCUUGUUAGAACCUCAUUAUCUAAAGAAUCUCCGGCCUACGGAAUGUAAAACUAUUCAAGGUGUCCUGCACGAGAUCGGUGGAACUGGUAUAUUUGUUUUUCUCUUUGCCAGGGUUGUGGAACUCAGCAACUGUGAAGAAACUCAAGCAUUAGCACUGAGAGUUAUACUCUCAUUAAUUAAAUACAACCAACAGAGAAUACAUGAAUUAGAAAAUUGUAAUGGACUUUCCAUGAUUCAUCAGGUGUUGAUUAAACAAAAAUGCGUUGUUGGUUUUCAUGUUUUGAAGACUCUUUUUGAAGGUUGCUGCGGUGAGGAUAUCAUUCAUGUCAACGAGAGUGGAGAGUUUAAGUUGGAUGUAGAGUCUAAUGCUAUAAUCCAAGAUGUUAAACUGCUAGAGGAGCUCCUGCUUGACUGGAAGAUAUGGAAUAAAGCCAAGCGCGGAGCCUGGGAAGCCCUGCUGGCGGCUCUGGAGGUCCUCAUCAGAGCAGAUCACCAGCAGCACGUCUUCAAUAUAAAGCAGUUACUGAAGGCUCGCGUGGUCCAUCACUUUCUACUGACUUGUCAGGUUUUGCAGGAACACAAAGAGGGGCAGCUUACAUCCAUGCCCCGAGAGGUUUGUAGAUCAUUUGUGAAAAUUAUAGCAGAAGUCCUUGGAUCUCCUCCAGAUUUGGAAUUAUUGACAAUUAUCUUCAAUUUCCUUUUAGCAGUUCACCCUCCUACUAAUACUUACGUUUGUCACAACCCCACAAACUUCUACUUUUCUUUACACAUAGAUGGCAAGAUCUUUCAGGAGAAAGUACAGUCAAUCAUGUACCUGAGACAUUCUAGCAGUGGAGGAAAGUCUGUUACUAGUCCUGGAUUUAUGGUAAUAAGCCCAUCUGGUUUUACUGCUUCGCCCCCUGAAGGAAACAAUUCCUCCAGGAUUAUCCCACAACGGACGAUCGCCAACAUUCUGCGUUCUAGAAGCCUACCAGCAUUUCCUACUGCUUCACCUCAAAUGCAACCACAAAAACUGAAUGGAAGUUUGGGUUGUAGUAUUGACGCGUUACAAAAUAUUGCAGAUGAUUACAUUGCUUCCCAAGCAGAGAAACUGAAUUCUCUGGUGAGUUCCGGGACACUGAAGAAAGACAAAGAGGAUGCAUUCAUCAGUAGCUGUGAGUCCGCAAAAACUGUGUGUGAAACGGAACCUGCCCUUUCCGCCCGCGCCUCUGUCAAUGGUGUCCCAAAAGGAACCUUGGAAUUUCUGGGGGUCAGAGUAGAUCACAAAGAGUUGGGAGCAGAACCCAAAUCAGAAGAUGACGAGUCCUACCCACGCCGCCCUGAUCACCUGAAGGGACUGGCCUCAUUCCAACAGAGCCACAGCACUGUCGCAAGCCUGGGGCUGGCUUUUCCUUCACACAACGGAUCCGCAGCCGUUGGACGCUGGCCGAGUCUCCUUGACAGGAACCCGGAUGACUGGGAAAACUUCACCUUUUCUCUCAGUUACGAGCCGAACUCCAGCCGCACUGCAAGUACUCACAGCGUAACGGAAGACUGUCUGGUACCUAUCUGCUGUGGAUUAUACGAGCUCCUCAGUGGAGUCCUUCUCAUCCUGCCUGAUGUUAUGCUUCCAGAUGUGAUGGACAAGCUCAUCCAGGCAGACACGCUUUUAGUCCUCGUGAACCACCCAUCACCUGCUAUACAACAAGGAGUUAUUAAACUAUUAGAUGCAUAUUUUAAUAGAGCUUCUAAGGAACAAAAAGAUAAAUUCCUAAAGAACCGUGGCUUCUCCUUGCUAGCCAACCAGUUGUAUCUUCACCGGGGAACUCAGGAAUUGUUAGAAUGCUUCAUUGAAAUGUUCUUUGGUCGACGUAUUGGCCUUGAUGAAGAAUUUGAUCUGGAAGAUGUGAAAAACAUGGGACUGUUUCAGAAGUGGUCUGUCAUUCCUGUUCUGGGACUAAUAGAGACCUCUCUAUAUGACAACAUGCUCUUGCAUAGUGCUCUCCUACUGCUUCUCCAAAUAUUAAAUUCUUGUUCUAAGGUAGCAGAUAUGUUAUUGGAUAAUGGUCUACUGUACGUGUUAUGUAAUACAGUAGCAGCCCUGAAUGGAUUAGAAGAAAACGUUCCUCUGAAUGAAUACAAAUUGCUUGCUUGUGAUAUACAACAGCUUUUCGUAGCAGUGACCAUUCAUGCCUGCAGUUCCUCAGGCCCCCAGUAUUUUAGAGUCAUCGAAGACCUCAUCGUACUGCUUGGCUAUCUUCAAAAUAGCAAAAACAAGAGGACACAAAGUAUGGCUGUUGCACUGCAGUUUAGAGUUCUCCAAGCUGCUAUGGAAUUUAUAAGGACCACAGCAAAUCAUGACUCUGAAAACCUUGCAGAUACAUUCCGGUUACCCUCUCCUCCUCAUCAUGCAAUAUUUCAACCGCGGAAGAGCAUCGCUGGUGCUCGAAAAUUUCCCCUUGCUCAGACUGACUCUCUCCUGAUGAAAAUGCGCUCAGUGGCAAGCGAUGAACUGCAUGUGAUGAUGCAACGGAGAAUGAGCCAGGAGAACCCCGUGCAGGCAUCUGAGACAGAGCUUGCUCAGAGACUACAGAGGCUCACCAUUUUAGCAGUUAACAGGAUUAUUUAUCAAGAGUUUAAUCCAGACAUUGUUGACAUUUUGAGUACUCCAGAAAAUGCGACUCAAAGCAAGACCUCAGUUUCCCAGACUGAAAUUUCUGAAGAAAAUGUUCAUCAGGAACAGCCUUCCAUUUUCAAUCCAUUUCAGAAGGAGAUAUUCACAUACCUGGUAGAAGGAUUCAAAGUGUCUAUUGGUUCAAGUAAAACCAGUGGUUCCAAGCAGCAGUGGACUAAAAUCUUAUGGUCUUGUAAGGAAACCUUCAGAAUGCAACUUGGCCGACUCCUGGUCCAUAUUGUGUCACCAGCCCACUCUUCUCAAGAGAGAAAGCAAAUUUUCGAAAUAGUUCGUGAACCAAAUCAUCAGGAAAUACUGCGAGACUGUCUUAGUCCAUCCCUGCAACAUGGAGCCAAGUUAGUUUUGUAUUUGUCAGAGUUGAUACAUAAUCACCAAGAUGAAUUGACUGAAGAAGAACUAGGCUCAGCGGAAUUGCUUAUGAAUGCUCUAAAACUGUGUGGUCAUAAGUAUCUACCUCCCAGUGCAACAACAAAAGCAGACCUUAUCAAAAUGAUCAAAGAGGAACAAAAGAAAUAUGAAACUGAAGAAGGUACGAAUAAAGACACCUGGCAGAAAACAGUUAACAAUAACCAACAAAGUCUCUUUCAGCGUCUGGAUUCAAAAUCAAAGGAUAUAUCUAAGAUCGCUGCAGAUAUCACCCAGGCAGUAUCUCUCUCCCAGGGAAUUGAGAGGAAAAAGGUGAUCCAGCAUAUCAGAAGCAUGUACAAGGUAGAUCUGAGUGCCAGCAGACACUGGCAGGAGCUUAUCCAACAGCUGACGCACGAUAGAGUGGCCUGGUAUGAUCCCCUGUACUAUCCAACUUCCUGGCAACUGGAUCCAACAGAAGGACCAAAUCGAGAGAGGAGACGUUUACAGAGAUGUUACUUAACUAUUCCAAAUAAGUAUCUCCUUCGGGAUAGACAGAAAUCAGAAGCAGAUGUGGUCAAACCACCACUCUCUUUCCUGUUUGAAGAUAAAACUCACUCUUCUUUCUCCUCGACCGUAAAAGACAAAGCUGCAAGUGAGUCUAUAAGAGUGAAUCGAAGAUGUAUCAGCGUUGCACCGUCUAGAGAGACAGCUGGUGAGCUGUUACUAGGUAAAUGUGGAAUGUAUUUUGUGGAAGAUAAUGCUUCUGAUACAGUUGAAAGUUCGAGCCUUCAGGGAGAGUUGGAACCAGCAUCAUUUUCCUGGACAUAUGAAGAAAUUAAAGAAGUUCACAAGCGUUGGUGGCAGUUGAGAGACAAUGCUGUAGAAAUCUUUUUAACAAAUGGCAGGACACUCCUGUUAGCAUUCGAUAACACCAAGGUUCGUGAUGACGUGUACCACAGUAUACUAACAAAUAACCUCCCUAAUCUCCUGGAAUAUGGCAACAUCAACGCUCUGACAAAUUUAUGGUAUACUGGACAAAUUACAAAUUUUGAAUAUUUGACUCACUUAAACAAACAUGCCGGCCGAUCCUUCAACGAUCUCAUGCAGUAUCCAGUGUUCCCGUUUAUACUUGCUGACUAUGUUAGUGAGACCCUUGACCUCAGUGAUCCCUCGGUCUACAGAAAUCUCUCUAAGCCUAUAGCUGUGCAAUAUAAAGAAAAAGAAGAUCGUUAUGUGGACACCUACAAGUACCUGGAGGAGGAGUACCGCAAAGGAGCCAGGGAGGACGACCCCAUGCCUCCCGUGCAGCCCUACCACUACGGCUCCCACUACUCCAAUAGCGGCACGGUGCUCCACUUCCUGGUCAGGAUGCCUCCGUUCACGAAAAUGUUUCUAGCCUACCAAGAUCAAAGUUUUGACAUUCCAGACAGAACUUUUCAUUCUACAAAUACAACUUGGCGCCUCUCAUCUUUUGAGUCCAUGACUGAUGUCAAAGAACUUAUCCCAGAGUUUUUUUAUCUUCCAGAAUUCUUAGUCAACCGUGAAGGUUUUGAUUUUGGUGUGCGUCAGAACGGUGAACGGGUUAAUCACGUCAACCUCCCUCCUUGGGCACGUAACGAUCCCCGUCUUUUUAUCCUCAUUCAUCGACAGGCUCUAGAGUCUGACUACGUGUCCCAGAACAUCUGUCAAUGGAUUGACUUGGUAUUCGGGUAUAAGCAAAAAGGGAAGGCUUCCGUUCAAGCCAUCAAUGUUUUUCAUCCUGCUGUAAGUGGCUUUUUUAAAAAUAUGCAUUUAUGUAAGGCAGAACCUGAAUGAAGGGUUAGCUGUUAGGCUGUUUCUUUAAAAUCAAAGAGAAUUAGCAAUAGCACUAGACUUUUCAGGUUUUAUAUUUCACCUCUUUAAAAAUAACUAAGAAAAAAAAAAAGACGCUAUCUAUCUAUUGCGGGUUCCUCAGGACCGACCAUCCCCAGGUUAAAUGAGGACUUAAAGACUCAGCGUAUGGUCAUACUAACAGUUAUUACAGUGAUAGAUACAAAACAAAAUCAGCAAAAGGAGAAGAUGUAUAGGGCAAAUCUGGAGAAGACCAGGCACAGGUUCCCAAGAGUCUUCUCCCAGAAGAUCACAAAGAACACACUGACCUCCUCCAGCAACACGUGUGCUGUUGUCUGCCGGGGAAGCUCAUUAGCGACUCAGAGCCCAGUGUUUAUAUUGAGGGCUGGUCAUGUAAGUACUCUCUCUCACACGUACUGAAAUCCCAGACUCCCGGAAGGAAGGCAGGUGUUCAGUAUAAGCACAUCGUUUGUGCAAACAGUUGAGGCACAGUGAGCCCCUCCUAUGAGUUAGGAAACGGCAGGAACUCUCCUGAAACCUGUGUUCCCUUUUAGCAGCCAAGGGCCAGCCUUACAGCGGGUCUUUGCAAGGAGAGCAGCUCAGGCCUGCCACGUUAACUCUUUCCUGCACACUAUCCUACAUGUGCAUUCUCUUUUGAAAUGGCAUCAUUUUUCCUUAAUACAGAAACAAUAUUUGUGCCUCGUUAGAAAAAUGUAUAAAAUACAGACUGCAAAAGGAAGAUGUUUAAAAAUCAACUUUGAUAUCGCUAUCCAGAGAUAAAUAUCAAAACCACCUUCCAGACUUUUUUUAUACAUAUAUAUCAUUCCAUUUAUAUUAUACCACUGUUCCUUAGGAUGGCCAUAUAACAAUAAUUUAUUUAACCAUCCCCUAUUGUUAGAUAUUUAAUUAGUAUCUGUUUGCUAUUAGAAAUAAUAAUCCUGAGAGGCCCCUGGAUGGCUCAGUCAGUUAAGCGUCCAACUUCCGCUCAGGUCAUGAUCUCACAGUUAGUGAAUUCGAGCCCCACGUCAGGCUCUGUGCUGACAGCUCAGAGCCUGGAACCUGCUUCAGAUUCUGUGUCUCCCUCUCUCUGCCUCUCUCUCUCUCUCUCUCUCUCAUAAACAUUAAAAAUAAUAAUAAUAAUAAAAAGAAUGACCAUGCUUAGAUAAGCACUUAUAACAAGUAUUUAAUCCCUUGUGAUGGCAGUGGUGGUGAGUGUUGAAGAUUAUUUAGUUUCUGAAGAACCUUUGAAAUUUUAUUUUGGCAUUUAUAGAAACGUUAUGUCUAGAUAUGUAAUGAAAUUGGCUAUGCCUGAUUAAAUGCUAAAAGCUACCCUGUACAAGUGGGUCUGCACAAAACAUGACAGGUCUGUACCCAACUACUGACGGCUAAGAAGGACAUGCAUGUUGCUCCCCAUCCGACUCUCAGAGACAACAGCAGGAAGGAGAAAAGUGUAGCACUCUUUACAGUAAAGAGCCUGGAAUUUUCACCACACUUGAACUAGCUGCCAACAUCGUACUUAACUUCAUUUUUGCCUUUUCCUCGAUAUCACUUUAACAAAUGAUUUUUUUCCAUAAUUUAACAUUAUACACAGUCUUUUUUCCCCCAACACUGAGGAAGAAAGAACAGGACUGUGACAAAUCCUGAAUUUUUACCCCACGUCCAGUCCGAUUAUUGCCCUAACCCCCCUUUCUCUCCAGCUUCAUGUCCUAAAAAGGGUGACAGCAUGGAGGACACCGCCCUCUCUACCAUGUUUUAGUCAAAAUGGGAUACUUUGGCGUUGUUUCUCGUCCGGUCUUCUGCCUCCUGCAGAGGAGAGCGAGCGGUGCUCUGGCCUCCACCGACAGCCUCACCAAGACGGCCCAGGGAGGCCGAAGGGACACGGCGGCUCAUCACAGCCUUCUCUCCGGCCAACUUGUAGUCAGUUUCAGUGUGUGUGAAAACCUCCAAAGCAAACACAGGGACAGGAAAUCAGGAUUAAAUUGAUCCUCUCCGAGGAUGCAUAAGGCAUAGAUGUGUUGCUCUUGAGCUUACAGGACGGAAAUCAAAAAGACUUUGCUUGGGUUUCAAUGAUACUAGUGUUCAAAGUCCUGAUUCUUCAGUCCAGGAAAACAGGAGGCCUAUAGGCCUCAAAAAUCCAGGCUCCUUACUAAGAGAAAAUAUGCCUCAAUAGCUGAGAUCCAUAGACAUCCCCAAGAUGGCAUAUGUGAGUGAAGGGAAUGAAAAAUUCUUUCUCCACCCUUCAAGGCGCUUCCUGCUGGAGUAGGAACUAAAUAUACAUGAGACAGCUUAACAGGGAAAAAAAAAAAAAAUCCAAAGUUUACUUACGUGCACAAAGAGGCUCAAAAAUGAAA